ensembl:lncRNA
GGUUAGUUUAGGUAUUGGGUUAGAGAUGGUUAGUUUAGGUAUUGGGUUAGAGAUGGUUAGUUUAGGUAUUAGGUUAGAGAUGGUUAGUUUAGGUAUUGGGUUAGAGAUGGUUAGUUAAGGUAUUGGGUUAAAGAUGGUUAGUUUAGGUAUUGGGUUAGAGAUGGUUAGUUCAGGUAUUGGGUUAGAGAUGGUUAGUUUAGGUAGUAGGUUAGAGAUGGUUAGUUUAGGUAUUGGGUUAGAGAUUGUUAGUUUAGGUAUUGGAUUAGAGAUGGUUAGUUUAGGUAUUGGGUUAGAGAUGGUUAGUUUAGG